rnacentral:rRNA from 1 species
AUUGAACGCUGGCGGCAGGCCUAACACAUGCAAGUCGAGCGGAUGAAGAGAGCUUGCUCUCUGAUUUAGCGGCGGACGGGUGAGUAAUGCCUAGGAAUCUGCCUGGUAGUGGGGGAUAACGUUCCGAAAGGAACGCUAAUACCGCAUACGCCCUACGGGAGAAAGCAGGGGACCUUCGGGCCUUGCGCUAUCAGAUGAGCCUAGGUCGGAUUAGCUAGUUGGUGAGGUAAUGGCUCACCAAGGCGACGAUCCGUAACGGGUCUGAGAGGAUGAUCAGUCACACUGGAACUGAGACACGGUCCAGACUCCUACGGGAGGCAGCAGUGGGGAAUAUUGGACAAUGGGCGAAAGCCUGAUCCAGCCAUGCCGCGUGUGUGGAGAAGGUCUUCGGAUUGUAAAGCACUUUAAGUUGGGAGGAAGGGCAGUAAGUUAAUACCUUGCUGUUUUGACGUUACCGACAGAAUAAGCACCGGCUAACUUCGUGCCAGCCGCCGCAGUAAAAC